rnacentral:rRNA from 1 species
UACGAGGGGGGCGAGCGUUGUUCGGAAUUAUUGGGCGUAAAGGGUGCGUAGGCGGCCUGACAAGUCUGAUGUGAAAUCCCUGGGCUCAACCCAGGGCCUGCAUCGGAAACUGUCGGGCUUGAGUAUGGGAGAGGUGAGUGGAAUUUCCGGUGUAGCGGUGAAAUGCGUAGAUAUCGGAAGGAACACCUGUGGCGAAAGCGGCUCACUGGACCAUUACUGACGCUGAGGCACGAAAGCUAGUGGAGCAAACAGG